rnacentral:rRNA from 1 species
GUCCUUGCCGUAAACGAUGUAUACUUGAUGUAGUUAGGCUCAACCCUGACUGUGUCGAAGCUAACGCGAUAAGUAUACCGCCUGGGGAGUACGCUCGCAAGGGUGAAACUCAAAAGAAUUGACGGGGGCCCGCACAAGCAGUGGAGCAUGUGGUUUAAUUCGAUGCAACGCGAAGAACCUUACCCAGGCUCGAAAUGUAGAGGACGGUUACAGAAAUGUAACUUCCCGCAAGGGCCGCUAUAUAGGUGCUGCAUGGCUGUCGU